CGCGUUUUGAUGUUAGAAUGGGCCUGCUGGUUUGGUGUUUAGUUGUAUGUUAGUGUAUCUUUAGGUCGCGUGUUUGAAUCCUUGUAUGUGCAUUUUAGAGAAAUAUUUGUAUUUUGUUAAAUAGUAGAUUUGUUUUAAGUUUAAAAAUAACUUUUUAUUUUUAUUUUUUUACUGCUUUCUUUCUUUUCACGUUCUCAUCUCCCUCUCAUUGGUUCCCCUUUCUUUUUUUUCCUUUUUCUUUUUUUCUUUUGGAAAACAGUUUUGUUUAUGGUUUUCGGAGAGCUUAGGUUUCUUUGUCGUUGAGUCGGUGUUUGGACA
rnacentral:lncRNA from 1 species